UGCGUUACGAUGAAAUUAGGCGUAGCGGAAAAGGAUUGUUGUCAAUACCUUGUCAUAGACUUUAUUAAUAAAUUCUAUG
rnacentral:sRNA from 31 species